rnacentral:rRNA from 1 species
UACGUAGGGCGCAAGCGUUGUCCGGAAUUAUUGGGCGUAAAGAGCUCGUAGGCGGUUUGUCGCGUCUGCUGUGAAAACCUAAGGCUCAACCUUGGGCUUGCAGUGGGUACGGGCAGACUAGAGUGCGGUAGGGGUGACUGGAAUUCCUGGUGUAGCGGUGGAAUGCGCAGAUAUCAGGAGGAACACCGAUGGCGAAGGCAGGUCUCUGGGCCAUUACUGACACUGAGAAGCGAAAGCAUGGGGAGCGAACAGG